rnacentral:rRNA from 1 species
GUUGUAUAGUCAAGUAAUUAAGUGCAUGUGGUGGAUGCCUUGGCAGUCAGAGGCGAUGAAAGACGUGAUAGCCUGCGAAAAGCUCCGGGGAGGCGGCAAAUAUCCUUUGAUCCGGAGAUGUCUGAAUGGGGGAACCCACCUACUUUAAGGUAGGUAUUGCAACAUGAAUACAUAGUGUUGCAAGGCGAACGAGGGGAAGUGAAACAUCUCAGUACCCUUAGGAAAAGAAAUCAAUUGAGAUUCCCUCAGUAGCGGCGAGCGAACGGGGAUCAGCCCAUUAAGUUAUGUGUGUUUUAGUGGAACGCUCUGGGAAGUGCGAACGUAGAGGGUGAUAUUCCCGUACACGAAAGGGCACACAUAAUGAUGACGAGUAGGGCGAGGCACGUGAAACCUUGUCUGAAUAUGGGGGGACCAUCCUCCAAGGCUAAAUACUCCUGACUGACCGAUAGUGAACCAGUACCGUGAGGGAAAGGCGAAAAGAACCCCUGUGAGGGGAGUGAAAUAGAUCCUGAAACCGCAUGCAUACAAGCAGUGGGAGCACCUUCGUGGUGUGACUGCGUACCUUUUGUAUAAUGGGUCAGCGACUUAUAUUCAGUAGCGAGGUUAACCGUAUAGGGGAGCCGUAGAGAAAUCGAGUCUUAAUAGGGCGUUUAGUUGCUGGGUAUAGACCCGAAACCAGGCGAUCUAUCCAUGAGCAGGUUGAAGGUUGGGUAACACUAACUGGAGGACCGAACCCACUGUCGUUGAAAAGCCAGGGGAUGACUUGUGGAUAGGGGUGAAAGGCUAAUCAAGCCUGGUGAUAGCUGGUUCUCCCCGAAAGCUAUUUAGGUAGCGCCUCGGACGAAUACCAUAGGGGGUAGAGCACUGUUUCGGCUAGGGGGUCAUCCCGACUUACCAAACCGAUGCAAACUCCGAAUACCUAUGAGUACUAUCCGGGAGACAGACUGCGGGUGCUAACGUCCGUAGUCAAGAGGAAAACAAUCCAGACCGCCAGCUAAGGCCCCAAAAUCAUAGUUAAGUGGGAAACGAUGUGGGAAGGCAUAGACAGCUAGGAGGUUGGCUUAGAAGCAGCCACCCUUUAAAGAAAGCGUAAUAGCUCACUAGUCGAGUCGGCCUGCGCGGAAGAUGUAACGGGGCUAAAACUAUGUGCCGAAGCUGCGGAUNNNNNNNNNNNNNNNNNNNNNNNNNNNNNNNNAUGCUGGAGGUAUCAGAAGUGCGAAUGCUGACGUGAGUAACGACAAAACGGGUGAAAAACCCGUUCGCCGAAAGACCAAGGGUUCCAGUCCAACGUUAAUCGGGGCUGGGUGAGUCGACCCCUAAGGCGAGGCCGAAAGGCGUAGUCGAUGGGAAAAUGGUUAAUAUUCCAUUACUUCUGUGUAAUGCGAUGAGAGGACGGAGAAGGCUAAAUCAGCCUGGCGUUGGUUGUCCAGGUGAAAGGAUGUAGGCAUGUAUCUUAGGCAAAUCCGGGGUACUCUAUGCUGAGAUCUGAUAGCAAGCUGUACUUGUACAGCGAAGUGGUUGAUGCCAUGCUUCCAGGAAAAGUCUCUAAGCUUCAGUUACACAGGAAUCGUACCCGAAACCGACACAGGUGGUCAGGUCGAGUAGACCAAGGCGCUUGAGAGAACUCUGCUGAAGGAACUAGGCAAAAUGGUACCGUAACUUCGGGAGAAGGUACGCUGUUGUUGGUGAUGGAACUCGCUUCCUGAGCUGACGACAGCCGCAGAAACCAGGCCGCUGCAACUGUUUAUUAAAAACAUAGCACUCUGCAAACACGAAAGUGGACGUAUAGGGUGUGAUGCCUGCCCGGUGCUGGAAGGUUAAUUGAUGGGGUUAGCGUAAGCGAAGCUCUUGAUCGAAGCCCCAGUAAACGGCGGCCGUAACUAUAACGGUCCUAAGGUAGCGAAAUUCCUUGUCGGGUAAGUUCCGACCUGCACGAAUGGCAUAAUGAUGGCGGCGCUGUCUCCAGCAGAGGCUCAGUGAAAUCGAAAUCGCUGUGAAGAUGCAGUGUACCCGCGGCUAGACGGAAAGACCCCGUGAACCUUUACUGCAGCUUGACACUGAACUUUGACCUUACUUGUGUAGGAUAGGUGGGAGGCUUUGAAGCUGGAACGCUAGUUCCAGUGGAGCCGUCCUUGAAAUACCACCCUGGUAAUGUUGAGGUUCUAACUCUGUCCCGUGAUCCGGGACGAGGACCGUGUCUGGUGGGUAGUUUGACUGGGGCGGUCUCCUCCUAAAGAGUAACGGAGGAGUACGAAGGUGCGCUCAGCGUGGUCGGAAAUCACGCGUAGAGUAUAAAGGCAAAAGCGCGCUUAACUGCGAGACCCACAAGUCGAGCAGGUACGAAAGUAGGUCUUAGUGAUCCGGUGGUUCUGUAUGGAAGGGCCAUCGCUCAACGGAUAAAAGGUACUCUGGGGAUAACAGGCUGAUACCGCCCAAGAGUUCAUAUCGACGGCGGUGUUUGGCACCUCGAUGUCGGCUCAUCUCAUCCUGGGGCUGAAGCAGGUCCCAAGGGUAUGGCUGUUCGCCAUUUAAAGAGGUACGCGAGCUGGGUUUAGAACGUCGUGAGACAGUUCGGUCCCUAUCUACCGUGGGCGCUGGAAAUUUGAGAGGAUCUGCUCCUAGUACGAGAGGACCAGAGUGGACGAACCUCUGGUGUACCGGUUGUGACGCCAGUCGCAUCGCCGGGUAGCUAUGUUCGGAAGGGAUAACCGCUGAAAGCAUCUAAGCGGGAAGCCUACCUCAAGAUAAGAUUUCCCUAGGACUUUAUGUCCUCUAAAGAGCCGUUCGAGACUAGGACGUUGAUAGGUUGGAUGUGGAAGCAUAGUGAUAUGUGAAGCUGACCAAUACUAAUUGCUCGUGAGGCUUGACUAUACAACACCCAAGCAGUUG